AUUGAACGCUGGCGGCAUGCUUUACACAUGCAAGUCGAACGGUAACAGGUCUUCGGAUGCUGACGAGUGGCGAACGGGUGAGUAAUGCAUCGGAACGUGCCCAGUCGUGGGGGAUAACGCAGCGAAAGCUGUGCUAAUACCGCAUACGACCUAUGGAUGAAAGCGGGGGACCGUAAGGCCUCGCGCGAUUGGAGCGGCCGAUGUCAGAUUAGGUAGUUGGUGGGGUAAGGGCCUACCAAGCCAACGAUCUGUAGCUGGUCUGAGAGGACGACCAGCCACACUGGGACUGAGACACGGCCCAGACUCCUACGGGAGGCAGCAGUGGGGAAUUUUGGACAAUGGGCGCAAGCCUGAUCCAGCAAUGCCGCGUGCAGGAAGAAGGCCUUCGGGUUGUAAACUGCUUUUGUACGGAACGAAACGGUCUGGGUUAAUACCCUGGGCUAAUGACGGUACCGUAAGAAUAAGCACCGGCUAACUACGUGCCAGCCGCCGCGGUAAGAC
rnacentral:rRNA from 1 species